UACGUAGGGUGCGAGCGUUGUCCGGAAUCAUUGGGCGUAAAGCGCGCGUAGGCGGCCCCGGUAAGUCCGCUGUAAAAAAUCAAAGGCUCAAACCUUUGAAUGUCAGUGGAUACUGCCGGGCUAGAGUCCGGAAGAGGCGAGUGGAAUUCCUGGUGUAGCGGUGAAAUGCGCAGAUAAUCAGGAGGAACACCAAUUGCGAAGGCAGCUCGCUGGGACGUAACUGACGCUGAGACGCGAAAGCGUGGGAGCAAACAGG
rnacentral:rRNA from 1 species